UGCUGAUUGAUUACUUAACAAAGUGGCCGCAGGCUUAUGCCAUAAAAUCCAAAAAUGCACAGGAGGUCAGUCAGUGCUUACUGACGUUUUUCUAUCAGUUUGAAGCACCAAAACGGAUACUGACGGACCAAGGCCGGGAGUUUGUUAAUGAAAUCAACAGCAAUGUGUGCAAAAUACUGGGCAUCAAAAGAAGCCUGUGCGCCCCUUAUCAUCCACAGACCAAUGGACUGGUGGAGAGGAUGAAUGGGACGAUCCAGAGGGCACUGGCCAAACUGGUGCAUGACAAGCCAGAUGUGUGGGACCAGCAUUUCGAUGCUGUAAUGUUUGGCCUGCGAACCAAGCGACAAGUCACCACGAAGUUCUCACCAUUCUUUUUAAUGUUUGGGAGAGAAGCGAGGUAUCCCUCUGAAAUCCCAAAGGAUUACGAGGUGGAUAGCAGUGUGGAGGACAACCUCUCUGUUGAGGAAGUGACAGAAAAUGUCCUCAAACUGGAUGACGCACUUCAAAAUGCCAUCCAAAAUAUCAACAACAGCCCCAAACCGAGGAAGGGUAAAAAAAGUGCUGUCAGCCUUAAAGUGGGCAUGAAGGUGCUGAGAAUGAAUGUGAGGAGCAAGCAGAGAAAAGGAGGAAAAUUGGAGGCAAACUAUCUUGGGCCCGACACAAUUUCCUCCAUCACUGGCAAAAGUGUGGACCUGGUAGACACAAGUGGGAUUACUAUCCCCAAAAUAAAUCGGGAUCACCUUGUCCCUUAUACUGAGGGGAAAGACAGGAUUCCACUCAAACUUUUAACUGGCCUGCCAACAACCCCAUCAUGUAAUGCCCCGCCUUCUGCUCCAGCUUCUGCCAGACCGCCUGCUGGUCCAGCUUCCACCGGACCGCCUGCUGGUCCAGCUUCCGCCGGACCGCCUGCUGGUCCAGCUUCUGCCAGACCGCCUGCUGCUCCAGCUUCCACUGGACCCCCUGCUGCUCCAGCUUCUGCUGGUCCCCAGGUUGCUGCAGCUUCCU